UUACAUCACCUAAGGGCUGUCAAGUAUCAUAGAUGCAUGAUAAAACAUUAGAAUCAGUUAAUCACCUCUGACAAAGUAUACAUAGAUUGAAUGACUCCUCUUUAAAAGCAGCUUUGUUUGGAUAAGCUUGGACACGCAGCAGAAAAAAAAAAAAAAAAAAGGCCAAUUAUGUUGGAGGCCUCGGCGUCGGUGGAGUGUGAGUGUGUAUUUUUUGGUGUGUAGUCCAGCGCGCCGCUCAUUUGGCAUUAGUUCCAGCAGAUACACAGUAAAAACAUCACAAUCACGCCGUCGCACGACAGUCCCGAUUUCACACCAUCAGCGCUCGCGCCGACCGGGACCCUCCAUUAGCCCGCACAUGUGUUUACAUUCCAGAGGUCUGUCCUCAAAUGAUUUGAAUGUAUUUUCUUUUUUUUUUUUUUCUUUUUUUUUAUUAUUGCAGCCGCUGUUAUUUAUCACAUGCAAAACGGCUGUGGGACACGGUGAUGUACGCUAUCAGCGGUGACAAUGAUAACCAGGACAAUAAUUACACAAAGCCCGGCUCAUCCAUCACCGUCACUUAUCACUCGAACAAUCAGGCGUUAAAGAGAAAAGAGGGGCGGAGAGGGAGAAAAAAGGAAGGAUCCUGGACUGGGAGUCUCCGCUCCGCGUGUCAGUCAAGAGACGAUCCAGUUCGGCGUGAACAUGGUAUCAUACGUGUGGUCACAUGAGGCUUAAUAACACCACGGCCUCCACCGUUCAUAUCGUGUCCUCCUGGAUUGAAAGUGAGUUUGGUAGAGGUGCUCUGCAGGACUUUGAGGACUCCUCAUACAUGUUGGCUUAGAAGAUCGUAACGUGACGUGAAGCAUAAGACCUCCCCUAUCGCUCUAUGUUGCCUUCACAAGCCUGUGAUGAAAGUAGGACUGUGGAUUUCUUUGUGACGGACACAGGUUUGGAUUUUCUCUGUGACUUCCAGUUGGCAAUAGUAUCUAACGUUAGUUUAGAAAUGGCGUCACGACUGGCUGCCGGCACGAGAAGUUCCUUUAAACGGCUGACACCAGAGAGUUGUCUCUGUUGUUGUUUCUCCCUUUGGCAGUAUUUGAGUUUUCAUCCAGGUGUGUUGAAGGUUUCAUCCUUAAAAUGCUUGAAAAUCUAUAUUUGAACGACAACUGAGGAUCACAUAAUCACUGAAAAGCUCCAGGAACAGCUGUUAAAUGGACCUCGCGAUGACGAGAAUUCACUUUAAAAUCUUCACAUCGUACAUUUGUAUUUAUUACCCUGUUUUAUCUUCUGUAGUAAAGUUUUAUUUCUAUAGAGACCAGAUUGGUUGCAUGUACAAAACUCAAGAAUAAAAAAAAAUAAAUGAUGUACCUGACCGCUCCCUCGUGAUCAGAUAUGAUAAGAUACCAUAUCAGGAAAAACAUGUUUAGCAAAAUAAACAGAGUUCUAAACUACUUUCAACCAGGUCACACAUGAUUGCAUAACACACACAGAUAAAAAAAACAGCAGAUCCACUCAGUGUUUUUGCUUCAGACCGACUGCGGGACGGCCUCAACAUGUCUGGCUUGACAGUGAACUUGAACCCUGAAAACCCCCCCGAACGAAGGGAGUAAACUGGAGACUGAGGGACGGUUUGAGCGACAGAAAGAGGGAGCCUCCCCGUUAGCGAGAGGUCAGGGGUUACGUAAAUACUGAGGAAAAAAGCCCCUCUGGGUUUGGGGUCGAUGCUCUCUCGGGUAACGCGGUUGACACCUCCUGGGACUCGAAGA